rnacentral:rRNA from 1 species
GACAGAGGUGCCGAGCGUUAGGCGGAAUCACUGGGCUUAAAGCGUGUGUAGGCGGGCGGGCAAGUACCUUGUGAAAUCCCACGGCUCAACCGUGGAACUGCUGGGUAUACUGCCUGUCUUGAGCCAGCCAGGGGCAGUCGGAACAGACGGUGGAGCGGUGAAAUGCGUAGAUAUCGUCUGGAACGCCAAAGGUGAAAACAGACUGCUGGGGCUGUGCUGACGCUGAGACACGAAGCCAGGGGAGCGAACGGG